rnacentral:rRNA from 1 species
UCGAGGUUCGACUAAGCCAUGCGAGUCGAAUGCCGCAAGGCAUGGCGUACUGCUCAGUAACACGUGGAUAACCUACCCUUGGGACGGGCAUAAACCCGGGAAACUGGGUAUAAUUCCCGAUAGGUCUGGGAGGCUGGAAUGCAUUCAGACUGAAAGCUCCGGCACCCAAGGAUGGGUCUGCGGCCUAUCAGGUAGUAGUGGGUGUAAUGUACCUACUAGCCUACUACGGGUACGGGUUGUGAGAGCAAGAGCCCGGAGAUGGAUUCUGAGACACGAAUCCAGGCCCUACGGGGUGCAGCAGGCGCGAAAACUUUACAAUGCGGGCAACCGCGAUAAGGGGAC